ACCGGCAGCUCAAGUGGUGGCCAUUUUUAUUGGGCCUAAAGCGUUCGUAGCCGGUUUGAUAAGUCUCUGGUGAAAUCCCGCAGCUUAACCGUCGGACUUGCUGGAGAUGCUAGUAUAAUUGAUUGCGGGAGAGUUUAGGAGUACUCCUAGGCUAGGGGUGACAUCCUCUAAUCCUGGGAGGACCACCUAUGGCGAAGGCGCCUAUCUGGAACGACAUUGACGGUGAGUAACGAAAGCCACGGGCUCGCCCCG
rnacentral:rRNA from 1 species